AUGCGCAUGCAUCUUGAAGCCAUUGAUGUCGAUCUGUGGUAUGUCAUCAAGAAUGGCGUUCCCAAGACUGGUGAAGGUGUCACCCCCGCUGAUGUGAAGAAGUUCAUUCAACUGGACUCUACCGCCAAGAACAUCAUCUGUGGUCAUCUGACCAAAGGGCAGUAUGGCCAUGUGAGCGCUUUGGAAACGUCGAAGCUAGUCUGGGACUGGCUCUCCAAGGUCAAUGAAGGCGUCUCAACACAGCGUAAUCAACGAAUCAGUACUCUUCGCAACCUCUUCAACCGCUUCAAAAGACACGACAACGAGAACGUCCAGCUCACGUUUGAUCCCCUCACCGAUAUUACCAAUGAGCUCCGUGCACUCGGUGCAACUGACAUUACGAAGCAUGAAAUUGUGAAGACACUGCUGAGAUCUCUUGACAGCUCAUUUGACACCUUAGCCCUGAUGAUACAAGAACGCCCUGAUUUCAAGACACUUGAUCCGUCUGACAUACUCGAGAGGCUCAACACACAUGAGUACCAGCUAUCUGAGAAACGAGAUAUCUAUGGCCCCAACUACGGCCGAACUCGUGCCUUGAAGGCAAAGGCUGCGGCUUCCUCGUUUGGAGAAGAAUCUGACUGCAAUUCUGAUGAUCCUGAAGACAUUGGAAAGGAGCUUGCUAUGCUUGUGAAGAAGUUCCAGAGAUUCACAAGGAAGAAGAACUUCAGAAAGUCUUCACGAUCCAGCUCAAGGGACGAUGAAGCUUCUACCUAUGACAACAAGAAAAGAACCUGUCACAAGUGCAAGAAACCUGGCCACUACAUCUCUGAAUGUCCACAGUGGGACAAUGAGAAGAAGUAA
rnacentral:rRNA from 1 species